GACGAACGCUGGCGGCGUGCUUAACACAUGCAAGUCGAACGGAAAGGCCCUGCUUUUGUGGGGUGCUCGAGUGGCGAACGGGUGAGUAACACGUGAGUAACCUGCCCUUGACUUUGGGAUAACUUCAGGAAACUGGGGCUAAUACCGGAUAGGAGCUCCUGCUGCAUGGUGGGGGUUGGAAUGUUUCGGCGGUUGGGGAUGGACUCGCGGCUUAUCAGCUUGUUGGUGGGGUAGUGGCUUACCAAGGCUUUGACGGGUAGCCGGCCUGAGAGGGUGACCGGCCACAUUGGGACUGAGAUAGGGCCCAGACUCCUACGGGAGGCAGCAGUGGGGAAUAUUGCACAAUGGGCGGAAGCCUAAUGCAGCAACGCCGGGUGCGGAAUGACGGCCUUCGGGUGGUAAACCGCUUUCGCCUGUGACGAAGCGUGAGUGACGGUACUGGGUAAAGAAGCACCGGCUAACUACGUG
rnacentral:rRNA from 1 species